ACAGGCUGGGGUACCAAGAUGGAGUCACACACCCAGAUCUUCAUAUUCCUGCUCCUCUGGACGUCUGGUGCUGAGGGGGACAUUGUGAUGACCCAGUCUCCUGAAUUAAUGUCCACAUCUGUAGGAGACAGGAUCACCCUAAGCUGCAAGUCCAGUCAGAUUGUGAAUGGAUAUGUGGAUUGGUACCAGCAGAAACCAGGGCAGCCUCCUAAACUGCUAAUCUACUCUGCGUCCAGUCGAUACACUGGGGUCCCUGAUCGCUUCACAGGGAGUGGAUCUGGGACAGAUUUCACUCUCAGCAUCAGCAGUGUGCAGGCUGAAGACCUGGCAGUUUAUUACUGUCAGCAGCAUAGCAGCUAUCCUCCCACA